rnacentral:rRNA from 1 species
CAAUGGGCGRAAGCCUGAUGCAGCAACGCCGCGUGAGUGAAGAAGGUUUUCGGAUUGUAAAGCUCUGUCAUCUGGGACGAUAAUGACGGUACCAGAUGAGGAAGCCACGGCUAACUACGUGCCAGCAGCCGCGGUAAUACGUAGGUGGCAAGCGUUGUCCGGAAUUACUGGGCGUAAAGGGUGCGCAGGCGGACAUUUAAGUGAGAUGUGAAAUACCCGGGCUUAACCCGGGCAGUGCAUUUCAAACUGGGUGUCUGGAGUGCAGGAGAGGAGAACGGAAUUCCUAGUGUAGCGGUGAAAUGCGUAGAGAUUAGGAAGAACACCAGUGGCGAAGGCGGUUCUCUGGACUGUAACUGACGCUGAGGCACGAAAGCGUGGGUAGCAAACAGGAUUAGAUACCCUGGUAGUCCACGCCGUAAACGAUGAGUACUAGGUGUAGGAGGUAUCGACCCCUUCUGUGCCGCAGUAAACACAAUAAGUACUCCGCCUGGGAAGUACGA